rfam:Gorilla gorilla gorilla genomic chromosome, chr7, whole genome shotgun sequence
AUAAAGGAUUUUUUUAAAUCCAUUAUACGGAACCUUGCAUAUAGAAU